AUCAACAUGACUUUGAAGCUGGUUAGCAAAGCAGAAUGGUGGGAUUUGCCUCAGACCCACUGACACAGAAUCUCUGUGUGUGGAUCCUAGGAUGCUGUGGAGUAAGUAACAGGUUCUCCAGAUCAUUGAAACAACCACCAAAUGAAAAAUCAUCCGAUAUACCCACCUUAGGCCCAGAUUGCACAGUGCAGCUGUUGGUACUGACUACAUGAAAAGCUUCACUGUACAUUGGGCUGUCCAUCAGCAUCGUCAGGGCCGCUUGAAGAUGCCAUUGAAGAUGAGGAAGAAGAAUGUCCAUCAGAGGAAACAGACAUCAUCUCCAAAGGAGACUUUCCACUGGAGGAAAGCUUUUCCACAGAAUUUGGGCCUGAAAAUCUGAGCUGCGAAGAAGUGGAAUACUUUUGUAACAAAGGUGAUGAUGAAGGAAUCCAGGAGACAGCAGAAUCAGAUGGGGACACACAGUCAGAGAAACCGGGGCAACCUGGAGUUGAGACAGACGACUGGGAUGGACCAGGAGAGCUGGAGGUGUUUCAGAAAGAUGGGGAACGAAAAAUUCAGAGUCGACAGCAACUUC
rnacentral:sRNA from 1 species